AAAUCGAUGGUUGGUUCAGAUGUUGCCACAUGUCUGCUUAUGACACUAUCUCGAUUCGGUUGCUUCAAUCCUAGCUGUUGAGCAAUCCUCUAUAUAUAGGGCCGCUCUCAACCAAACUUCUACUUUUCAUUUUGUCUUUUCUGAUACUGGAACUGUGCCAGAAGAUCACCCUAGUAUCUAAGGACUGUUCUUUCAUCUUUUUCAGAUGUUGCUAUCUUUUCUUUGAGUUCUUCCUCUAGUUUUCAUUUCUUUGAUGGCUAGGACUUUUUCUUGUUAGGAUGGUCGGUCGGAGAGUUUGGUGGACAAAUUCCAGUC
rnacentral:lncRNA from 1 species